GUGAAUCAUCGAAUUUUUGAACGCAAAUUGCACUCUCUGCGAUUCCGGAGCGUGUUCGUGUUUGAGGCUCUGUAUAAUCGACAUCGGAGCGGUGCUUUUUGGGUGACGCACCGGAGUUUGGGUCACCUUAACUCUUUUUUUUUAAGGACCUAAAAUUAACAUUCUUUUUUGCUUACCUUUGAGUCGUACAUAUUUUUUUUUUCUUCGUCUACAU
rnacentral:misc_RNA from 1 species